AGCGAACGCUGGCGGCAGGCCUAACACAUGCAAGUCGAACGAAGUCUUCGGACUUAGUGGCGGACGGGUUAGUAACACGUGGGAACGUGCCUUUAGGUUCGGAAUAACUCAGGGAAACUUGUUCUAAUACCGAAUGUGCCCUUCGGGGGAAAGAUUUAUCGCCUUUAGAGCGGCCCGCGUCUGAUUAGCUAGUUGGUGAGGUAAAGGCUCACCAAGGCUACGAUCAGUAGCUGGUCUGAGAGGAUGACCAGCCACAUUGGGACUGAGACACGGCCCAAACUCCUACGGGAGGCAGCAGUGGGGAAUCUUGCGCAAUGGGCGAAAGCCUGACGCAGCCAUGCCGCGUGGAUGAUGAAGGUCUUAGGAUUGUAAAAUCCUUUCACCGGUGAAGAUAAUGACUGUAGCCGGAGAAGAAGCCCCGGCUAACUUCGUGCCAGCCGCCGCAGUAACAC
rnacentral:rRNA from 1 species